UACAGAGGGUGCGAGCGUUAAUCGGAAUUACUGGGCGUAAAGCGUGCGUAGACGGUUAGAUAAGUCGGGUGUGAAAGCCCCGGGCUCAACCUGGGAAUUGCAUUCGAGACUGUUUAGCUAGGGUACGGAAGAGGGAAGCGGAAUUUCAGGUGUAGCGGUGAAAUGCGUAGAUAUCGGGAGGAACACCUGUGGCGAAAGCGGCGCACUGGACCAUAACUGACGCUGAGGCGCGAAAGCUAGGGGAGCAAACAG
rnacentral:rRNA from 1 species